rnacentral:sRNA from 1 species
AGCCUAAACCACCGAGCAAUCGGUGGCAUGGUGAACAAGUCCUCUUAAGUAAAGAACCCAUCAUGUGGGGUCGCUUAAGAGGCCAUAUCAGGAAACUGGUAUGAGUGACUUCGGUCACU